AACAUACUCCCUCCGUCCGGAAAUACUUGUCAUUGAAAUGGAUGUAUCUAGAUGUAUUUUAGUUGUAGAUACAUCCAUUUUCAUCCAUUUUGAUGACAAGUAAUUCCGGACGGAGGGAGUAAUAA
rnacentral:pre_miRNA from 1 species